GACGAACGCUGGCGGCGUGCUUAACACAUGCAAGUCGAACGGAAAGGCCCUGCUUUUUUGGGUUGCUCGAGUGGCGAACGGGUGAUUAACACGUGGGUAACCUUCCCUUGACUUUGGGAUAACUUCAGGAAACUGGGGCUAAUACCGGAUAGGAGCUCCUGCUGCAUGGUGGGGGUUGGAAAGUUUCGGCGGUUGGGGAUGGACUCGCGGCUUAUCAGCUUGUUGGUGGGGUAGUGGCUUACCAAGGCUUUGACGGGUAGCCGGCCUGAGAGGGUGACCGGCCACAUUGGGACUGAGAUACGGCCCAGACUCCUACGGGAGGCAGCAGUGGGGAAUAUUGCACAAUGGGCGGAAGCCUGAUGCAGCAACGCCGCGUGCGGGAUGACGGCCUUCGGGUUGUAAACCGCUUUCGCCUGUGACGAAGCGUGAGUGACGGUAAUGGGUAAAGAAGCACCGGCUAACUACGUG
rnacentral:rRNA from 1 species